UACGAACUGUGCAAACGUUAUUCGGAAUCACUGGGCUUAAAGGGUGCGUAGGCGGCUACUUAAGUAGGGUGUGAAAUCCCCCGGCUCAACCGGGGAACUGCGCUCUAAACUGGGUGGCUGGAGUGAGAUAGGGGUGUGUGGAACUUCCGGUGGAGCGGUGAAAUGUGUUGAUAUCGGAAGGAACGCCGGUGGCGAAAGCGACACACUGGGUCUCAACUGACGCUGAGGCACGAAAGCCAGGGGAGCGAACGGG
rnacentral:rRNA from 1 species